GACGAACGCUGGCGGCGUGCCUAAUACAUGCAAGUAGGACGCAGUUGCGAAUGGGUGAGUAACGCGUAGGUAACUACCUAUUAGAGGGGGAUAACUAUUGGAAACGAUAGCUAAUACCGUAUACUAGUAGAUGGACCUGCGUUGUAUUAGCUAGUAGGUAGGGUAAUGGCCUACCUAGGCAACGAUACAUAGCCGACCUGAGAGGGAGGUCGGGCCCACUGGGACUGGGGCACGGCCCAGACUCCUACGGGGGGCAGCAGUAGGGAAACUUCGGCAAUGGGGGGAACCCUGACCGAAGAACGCCGGGUGAGUGAAGAAAGGUUUCGGGUCGGAAAGCUCUGUUGUUAAGGGAGCGGUACUUAACCAGAAAGGGACGGCUAACUACGUGCCAGCAGCCGCGGUAAUUC
rnacentral:rRNA from 1 species